AGGCCUCCUCACAUCCUCCAUCUGCUCUCCGCCGGCUCCACACCUGCGGGGCUAAUUAGCACAGUCUUCCCUCCCAGCUGAGCUCGCUUGGGUUCCUCCUGUCUCCACUCUCCAAGAUGAGGAAAAUGAAGUCCUAUGUGCAGAUCCACGUUUGCAAGACUCUAAAGCCUCGAUGUCCUGUGCACUUGAUAAAUAUUGGACGAAUGCGGAAUGAGUAACAGUGGUGAUUACAAAUGCUUCCAUCACGAAGCUGACUCUAAAGCAAACCAGUGUGACCCAUGACAAGCCAUAGGAGGACGAGGCCUUCAACCUGAAGAGCCUUUGAACUGAUCUUCCUGUUGAGCCCAGCAGUGCUGAUGGCAGCAAAAGCCAGAGAGCCCACAG